AGUAUUAUGUCUGAAAAAGAAGUAAACUGUAAAUUUACCAAUGAAGAUAAAGCUCUUCUAAUACUA
rnacentral:tRNA from 1 species